GGCAUACCAGAUAACUUCAGCCUGUACAUGCAUGGGUUGAGGGUGAAUUAAUGGUUGAAUAAACAUUGGACAUUUUCACUGACACUGUGAAAAUUCUUGAGCCAUAUGCACCAUAAAAGGAACUAAUAAUGUGUGAGUGUGACAAUUUCACUUCCCCUGGAAGUAGAAGUGAGGCUAUAGGCCAGAGUGUGAGAGGUGAAUCUAUAGAUUCAGGUUUUUGUUUCCUGUAAUGUAGGUAAUAAUAAGCCAUUGGAUUCUACAUUAGCUGCAUGUAAAGGCCCUCGUGAAGAAUUUUUCCAGCCCCCCAACUGUUUACCUCCAGUUUUUUCAGCAUAGAUUAUCCUACAUGUAUCAGUGUUAAGCCCCGGAGUGUCAGACAAAUAAUGGUAAAAUAUGAACAUUUGAUAAAUGUGGAAUUGAAAAGACUGAAAAAUACAUUGUUUACAUCAAUUGUUUGAAUGUUAUAUUUUUCUUCGAUUUCUACAAUUCAAUGUUAUCUGCUGUUAUAAAUCAUUCUAUUUUUGCCUCCUCUACAGGCAACUCUGUAUUGUUUUGUAUAACAGGUUUUCAACUCUUAUUUGUUUUGUAUUGUAAAUGCAUUUUGUAAAUGAUCAAACUUUGGUCGAGCUUCAAGCAAAAUAGUGUUAGGCCUGGGGAGAGCAAAACAUGGGAGGAAAAAAUCCUAUUAUAAAACCUAUAUAAAAUCUAUUAUACAAAACAGAGUUGCCUGUGGAAGAGGCUAAUUCUACUUAUAUAUUAACCCAGAACUCUCCCCUUGACAACUAAAAUCAUCUGGCAUUAGACAGAAAAUAAUAAAGACAUAAAGUAGGGUGCAAUGUGACUCAAUGGGUUAACUAGACACAUCAUGGGCAGAUAGACGAUUUAACCCACCUAGUGCCAGCACUCCCCCUUGACGAGUAAAAUUGUAUAGCAUUAGACAGAGUAAAAUAAUCUGGUGUUAGACAGAGUAAAAUAAUAAAGAAUGUUAGGGUUUGUAAUCCAAGUGAUUAUAUACAUUUUAAGACCUGACCAGGAACGACUGCGAAAAAUGCAGCACAAGGUCCUCUGGUAGGAAUUGAACCUACGGCCCUGCGAUUAAAAUAAUAAAAUAGGGCGCAUCAGUGCUCAAUGGGUUAGAGAUGAACAGACGGUCAAGUCUGUUAUGCACAUAUGUACCUUCUGAUGUAAACAAUUGGUAACAUCAAGGUGUUAUACAUAGGGUUUGUUAUACCUGGUGGUCAACAUUACAUGUAUCAACACUAAUGACUUUGAGAGCAAGCAAAUGAGGCUAAAUUGCAUGUAUUCACCAGCAAACAUGAGGUCAAGACAUAUAUUACUCACACCGGUAACUGUGUUUCCUUUUAGAGUUGACCACCAUGUGCCGAGAUGUUGCAUCACAACACAUGAAAGUAAAGAAUACCCAACUUUCACAUUGUUUCAGCAUCUCAUUCAGAAACUCCAAUCAAAAUUCAUUUAAAGAACAGCAACCUGAACGAUGUGAAAUAUGAAUUAUGUACAUCAUAUUUUUUUUUUAAUAUAGCGUGUUUAAAAUGUAAAAAACCCAACAUCCCUCACAUUUUAUGCUUUUUAUCACUAUUAUAAACAGGGUGCCAUACUGCUAUAGUUUCAAAUAGUGAAAUCUUGACUGAUUUCUGCCUAAGUAUUUCACAAAAUAUUAAAUACAACGAUAUCCAGCUGCACAUAAGUUAUUAUACCAUUUACAUUUCUUCUAAAUCCUUUAGACAUGGCUCACAUGAGUAUUAAUUUCUCGGUAAUUUCGGAAUUUCAAUUUUCCACUCCUACGAUGAAUAACAGUGCCAUAUAAAUCGGUAGAUAAUCUUCAAAGGUUUCUCAUACCAACACAUCUUUCAAGGACGAAUUAUAUAAACAUGUUAAUAACAACUUUAGUAAAGGAAAACUGUUAUGAGCAAAAUAACAAGUGUUUCUCGUGCCGAUUAUUUUCUGAAACACUCGGGCGCCAUCUUGAAAUUUGAGUUCGGGGGGGUGAAUGCCUCUCUUUCGCGCACUGGCUAAGCUUUUGGCGGCCGGUUACACUUUUUUGGCUGAGUUCCACCUCUGUGUAGAGGGCCCCCUAUACUUUUUGCGUGAAGCGUGAUGGGCUUAUUUUACUUAGCCGUGAA
rnacentral:lncRNA from 1 species